rnacentral:rRNA from 1 species
GAUGAACGCUGGCGGCGUGCCUAAUACAUGCAAGUCGAGCGAACAGAUGAGGAGCUUGCUCCUCUGACGUUAGCGGCGGACGGGUGAGUAACACGUGGAUAACCUACCUAUAAGACUGGGAUAAAUUCGGGAAACCGGAGCUAAUACCGGAUAAUAUAUUGAACCGCAUGGUUCAAUAGUGAAAGACGGUUUUGCUGUCACUUAUAGAUGGAUCCGCGCCGCAUUAGCUAGUUGGUAAGGUAACGGCUUACCAAGGCAACGAUGCGUAGCCGACCUGAGAGGGUGAUCGGCCACACUGGGACUGAGACACGGUCCAGACUCCUACGGGAGGCAGCAGUAGGGAAUCUUCCGCAAUGGGCGAAAGCCUGACGGAGCAACGCCGCGUGAGUGAUGAAGGUCUUCGGAUCGUAAAACUCUGUUAUUAGGGAAGAACAAAUGUGUAAGUAACUAUGCACGUCUUGACGGUACCUAAUCAGAAAGCCACGGCUAACUACGUG